rnacentral:rRNA from 1 species
CUGAUGUGAAAGCCCACGGCUCAACCGUGGAACUGCCAUUGAUACUGCAGGGCUUGAGUUCGGUUAAGGCGGGCGGAACUGGUGGUGUAGCGGUGAAAUGCAUAGAUACCACCAAGAACCCCGAUUGCGUAGGCAGCUCGCUGAGCCGAAACUGACGCUGAGGCACGAAAGCGUGGGGAGCGAACAG